GGACCCGCACAAGUAGCGGAGCAUGUGGUUUAAUUCGAAGCAACGCGAAGAACCUUACCUAAGCUUGACAUCCCAAGGACAUCUCCUUAAUCGGAGAGUUCCCUUCGGGGACAUUGGUGACAGGUGGUGCAUGGUUGUCGUCAGCUCGUGUCGUGGGAUGUUGGGUUAAGUCCCGCAACGAGCGCAACCCUUGUCUUUAGUUGCCAUCAUUAAGUUGGGCACUCUAGAGAGACUGCCAGGGAUAACCUGGAGGAAGGUGGGGAUGACGUCAAAUCAUCAUGCC
rnacentral:rRNA from 1 species